GUAAGUCUAUGUUCCCCUUAUUUCAAGUUUACUUUGCACACAGUUCAAGACAUUGCAAACGGUAAAGCUUUUUAUCCAUUUCCCUUCUUUAUAGACCAUUGUUUGCUUCUCUUGAUCAACAGGGUAUCUUCUCAAUUCUUUCUCUAUGUAACUCUUCUCCAUCACCUUGCCAUUUAUGUCGUUAAAACUCAAAGACUAGUUGUUCAUUCCAAGAAUUAAGCUUUCAAGGGGAGCAAUGGUUAUGGAAGCUAUUUAUGCUGCUGCUGUCCCUGCUGUUGCUGCUGCAAUUGGAUUUUAUUUCUUGGACAGAAACCAUGUCAAGGAAAUGAAGAGAAGGCUUCCGGUAUCUAAUAAAAGAAUGAUAACAAAAGAAGAUCAUGCGAACACGCUUCAAAAGCCAAAAUGGGCACCCCAGCUUGACGGAUUGCAUUGUUUUGAAACCUUGGUGAUGAACUAAAUUGGCUUGAGGUUGUUUGUAAUACCUGUGCUAAAAUGAUGAAUUAAUGAUGAUAAACUAGAUACUUGUUUACUUA